AUAGCGUAUAUUGAAGUUGUUGCAGUUAAAAAGCUCGUAGUUGAGACUUGGGUCUGGCUGGCAGGUCCGCCUCACCGCGUGUACUUGUCCGGCCGGGCCUUCCUUCUGGAGAACCUCAUGCCCUUCACUGGGCGUGUUGGGGACCAGGACCUUUACUUUGAAAAAAUUAGAGUGUUCAAAGCAGGCCUUUGCUCGRAUACGUUAGCAUGGAAUAAUAGAAUAGGACGUGCGGUCCUAUUUUGUUGGUUUCUAGGACCGCCGUAAUGAUUAAUAGGGACAGUCGGGGGCAUCAGUAUUCAAUUGUCAGAGGUGAAAUUCUUGGAUUUAUUGAAGACUAACUACUGCGAAAGCAUUUGCCAAGGAUGUUUUCAUUAAUCAGUGAACGAAAGUUAGGGGAUCGAAGACGAUCAGAUACCGUCGUAGUCUUAACCGUAAACUAUGCCGACUAGGGAUCGGGCGAUGUUCUUUUUCUGACUCGCUCGGCACCUUACGAGAAAUCAAAGUUUUUGGGUUCUGGGGGGAGUAUGGUCGCAAGGCUGAAA
rnacentral:rRNA from 1 species